rnacentral:rRNA from 1 species
GUCUCAGGCCGUAUCAGCCUGAAGGCGCCCGAUCUCGUCUGAUCUCGGAAGCUAAGCAGGGUCGGGCCUGGUUAGGAUCUUGGAUGGGAGACCACCUGGGAAUCCCCGGGUCGCUCGAGGCU